AAUGAACGCUGGCGGCAGGCCUAACACAUGCAAGUCGAACGGAUCCUUCGGGAUUAGUGGCGGACGGGUGAGUAACGCGUGGGAACAUACCCAAAGGUACGGAAUAGCCUCGGGAAACUGGGAGUAAUACCGUAUGUGCUCGAAAGAGGAAAGAUUUAUCGCCUUUGGAUUGGCCCGCGUUGGAUUAGGUAGUUGGUGGGGUAAUGGCCUACCAAACCGACGGUCCAUAGCUGGUUUGAGAGGAUGAUCAGCCACACUGGGACUGAGACACGGCCCAGACUCCUACGGGAGGCAGCAGUGGGGAAUCUUAGACAAUGGGGGAAACCCUGAUCUAGCCAUGCCGCGUGAUCGAUGAAGGCCUUAGGGUUGUAAAGAUCUUUCAGGUGGGAAGAUAAUGACUGUACCACCAGAAGAAGCCCCGGCUAACUCCGUGCCAGCAGCCGCCGUAA
rnacentral:rRNA from 1 species